rnacentral:rRNA from 1 species
UACGAGAGGCCCAAACGUUAUUCGGAAUUACUGGGCUUAAAGAGUUCGUAGGCGGCCUGAAAAGUAGGGUGUGAAAGCCCUCGGCUCAACCGAGGAAUUGCGCUCUAAACUGUCGUGCUCGAGGAAUCUAGAGGUGAGCGGAACUGAUGGUGGAGCGGUGAAAUGCGUUGAUAUCAUCAGGAACACCGGAGGCGAAGGCGGCUCACUGGGGAUUUUCUGACGCUGAGGAACGAAAGCCAGGGGAGCGAACGGG